ACAAUCGAAACACAACAAGCUGAAAUGGAUAUGGCAUUCCCCGGGAGGCUUUUGUAGGGCGACUCCAUUUCGUCUUUUCAAUCAAGCCGUUGCGAGCUGAUCGGAACGGAACGGGGAAUGAAAUUGCAACGCUUGGGGGAAAUUAUUACUUUUUUGUUGUUUUGUAUCGUUAUUCGCCCCGAACGCACCCUUAGUGGCUGCUCGUGUACAAAGAAAUACGGUUGAUAUUUACAAACGGCACCGCAAGAUUCUGUACGCUUUCCUUAGGCGCUUCUGUGUGUUUGUCCCAGCGGCGCACGGUGGGAACGCACGAUCGGGGGCUGAUUGGAAACUCAAUUCUGUUCCAUCAAGAAUGGAAUUGGAAACAGAUAUUGCUAUUAGUACUUGCUAGUAUUUGGGUAGACUUUGUUGAUCCUUUCCAAUUCGUUUUUUUUUGUAACAAGUUUAAUGAAAACCAAUUGGUUGCCGUUUUUUGUGAGCUUUGUACAAUUGUUACAAGAUUUUUCGGAUUAUAAGGUUGGAAAAGAAUUAGCUGAGGAUAAAAUAAGACAGCUAUUCAUUUGAAAAGGCUUCAAAACGCUAUUUUGCUGAACACGCUGCAUACUUUAAGGCGAGCUGUUCACUUAGUACAAAGGUAUGCAACGCUUUUCCAUCAAUACUCCUGAAGUUAUGCAAUUGCUAACGCCCUUUUUUGAACCAUUCAAUCUAUUAUCCGUUUAAUCUAAACGCACUGCACGGUGUCGUUUAGCAAAUUUCCCAUUCCCUAUGCAUGCGCAUGGAACUAGUUUUCCAAACUAUGGCGAACUACGAAGGAGAUUAUCGAGGAUGGAGUGAAACCCCUCCCCGAAACCACUGCAACGGUUCAAUCAAAUAGUUUCGGCCAACUCGGCCAAUAACGACCAACGGUCGGCUCCGGUCCCUGUCCCUCUUCUUCAUUGAUUGUGAAACGAUUCUACAGGCAUCUCACACGUGUGUUCGGUUCGGUGUGAAAAACAAUUUCACGUGCUACGUGUGAGCUUUUUCUUCAGGUUCGAUCGGCGUCCUUUUUGGCUGGCUAGAACAAAACAAAAAACCCACCCCCACGAGAGCGUGUGGGAUGAUGUGCUUUUUCUUCUGUAGCAAUCGAAUUUCAGCUCUAUUUCAAACUCGAUUGUUUUUCCGUGUGAAUUGUUUGGCAUUGCGGCGUUGCUGCCUUCGCUGCCGUAACACACUGCCGUGGGAGCCUCGAAGAUUCGAAAUGGCAAUUGUCAAUUUCUGAUUUUAUUUCAGAUUGUUUGUUUUCGCUUUUGUUCUGGUUUCUUCCUUCCCCUUCGGGGCACGAUCGCUGUCUCUCGUGGUUGUACGUUUUUGUGGUCCCUUUUUUUUUGUUCAUUUUUUUGUGUUGCUGCUGAUGCCCCGCUGCAUUCUCUAUCGUAGUUUGAGAGAAACUUUUUACCACCUUUGCUUCAUUUUACUUUCAACUUUCUCGCCACUAAAGCUCGCGCACGCUGGAAAAUCCAUUGCAAUUAUCAUCAGUCUCGCUCCUGCUCGUCGAACUGCCUGCUGUUUUUGGCAAUCGGCAACUCGAACGCGAAACAGUCGCAAAUGCACCCCGAAAUGGAGUCCCAAACUAUGCGCUGGCGUUGUGUUGAGUGGUGGUGUGGCGGUGAGGUGAAAAUUAGGUUCCGUUCACACCAACACGCCAUCCCUUCUUUCCUCGCGAUGCUGAAGCGUGCGCUCUGGUGCUGUAAAUCCUACCCGCGAGCGAUAAGUGAAAAGUUCGGAAAAAGGGUUGAGCGGAAUUCACCACCCCGUCCACCUCGUUUUGGGGCCACUUUUUCGGUUGCUUUCUUUCGUUUCAGUGGCGCAUUUAGGUACUGGGUGCUAAUGUGUGUGUGUGUGUGCCGAUUUUUACUGCUUCAUUUCGGAGCUACAAUUUUAUUGUUUCGAAUCACGCCGCCACCCCGACGAAGGAAUGGAAAAAAAAAACUGGGACCUGUUUUUUGUUGUUGCUGCAUUUUGGAUGGAUGGUUUUUUGUUGUUGUUGUGUGCGAGAAAGCUUUACACCGACUUUGGAGCGAGUUUUGGGCAAGGGAAACGUGCAACUUUUUCGCUUUUUGAAAUGCAACAUUUCGAGCAUGGAAUGCAGGCAAAAGUUUUAUCCAGCGCGUUGCUUAAGGGUACAUACUUGUUUGUGUGUGUGUUGCUCUCACUGUGUGUGCGCUGAAGUAGCCAAAUUCGAGAAGCACCAUGGAGCAUGAAAAACAAUCCAUUUUUCUCCCCCAUACGCUGCGAAGGUACUUUUUGUGUGUGGGUAAAAGUACAUCAAACAAACGCUUCUACCCGCUGGGGCGUAUUUUGAUGAAAUAAAUUUAAAAUAUGAAAGUAUGAAUUAAUGGUGCCCGAUGGAGAUACUGUGCUAAGCGUUUGCCUUUUUUUUUGGUAAAAUACUUUACAUCCUUUAAUGAGUCUAUAUUUAAAUAGUUUUCAUGAAAGUAGAAAUUUUCCUAGAAAAGGCGCACAAUUUCUGCUCUCGUACUCAUAACCGCAAAUCUGUGACUCCACAGAGUAUAAAGCUAAACUGUCUAACCGCACACUCCGAACUAAAUACCUUUCCAGGAAAUGAGAUCCUGCCUCAAACUGCUAUUGAAUUUGGUGGUUGAAGAGGAUAAUGGAUUUCCCUUUAAGCUCACGUUUUCCACACUCAUUUGAAUCCCCUUCAUUUAAAGUUUUCCUGCAGCGUUUGCACUUUUACGGACAACUGUGUGUCGGUUUUUUCCCCUUUUAAUUUUUGCUCUGCUCGCCACUACCCAGCCCGGGGAAGGUGUUUGAGUCACAAAGCUAGUUUAAAUGCGGAAAAGUGCUUGCCAUUUCCAAAUACGGAGCACACACCAGCACAAAGCUGGCUAUUGAACAUACAGCACACAUUAGUUGCAGUUCUGGAGCUGCAUUCUCGCCACAACCAGCCAGCAAAUUGGGUCCACAAUUCUGGGAAAAGCGCGCUCUCUCACGCUUUCCUUCCAUGAAGCAAACGCUGUGAAGGGGUUGGGGAUGAAAUUAAUUAGGCCCAAAUUCCUGGCUACCUCCCCGGAACCGACGAUGUCCACACACACACACCCCGAUUCGAAUAGGUUUGUCGUCUGAUUUCGGUUGAAUCGAGAGAGAGAGAGAGAGAGUGAAGUGGCUUUAAUUAAAUUUUACUGCCAUCAACCCUAGAAACGGACCGUGCUGGACGUUGGACAGGACGCAGCCGGCGAGUAAGCCGAACAGCAGCAACUUUGCAACUGUUUCCAACUCGAAAACUGAACCACUGAGCUGGUCACAUGCAGGCAAGGAAAAGCGUUCGAAAGGAAUGUCAAAUUCCUCGGCAUCAAAAUCAAACAUUCCCAACAACCUGCCUGGUUGCCUGGUUGCCAAAAGGUGUGUCCUAUCAGGUGCAGGCACCAGCAACAACACACGAAGUUGACAGAGAGUUUUUAAUUCCGGCAACGGCAAAAAUGGCAAAACCUUUCUUUUUUUCCCCUGGCAGUCGUUGAUGAUUUACAGGCAUGAGUUUUGCUCGUUCUUGCUCCUGCUUCACUCAUGAUGAAAGUGUCUUCGGUGGGUUGGCACCAAUUUAAAGCCUUCCACAGUGUUGCACAGCGCGCUUUGCAUAUUCCGUUUGUGCGCUAGCGGAAUGUGUUUGCGAAAUCCAUUUCGUAUGAUUAAAAUGACGACUUUGUUUGACUUUAAGCUUCUCCGCACGUUCGCCCAUUUGUUUGAACCGCUUCUGCUUCGAAUCGGUUUCCCUGGCCAGCAGCGAACAGUUGCCAGAGGGGUUUCCCCGUUUUUCGAAAUCCUGCCGAAAUGAUGAAUCUGCUUGCACGCUGCAAUGAACGAACGACUUUUCACCGUGCACAUUUGUCAUCGUCAUGAACGAAAUGAGUGGCGGAUGGAGGGGGUGCUGUGAGGGGAAAGAAAGUGCAGGAAGUGCAGUUUUUGUGGCAGCCGGAAGUGGCUCCACCACCGCCCAGUAGCUUAGACACUCUCGGGCUGCGCGCACAUAGGAGACAGCCAAUUCAGCAGGUGAAGAUUUAUCGUAUCAAACCGCGGGACCAUUUGGUUGGAAGUGGCUCUGCGAGGAAAAGGCCGGUGACGGUAUCCGGUUUCUCCCCAACCCAAGGCUGCUGCACCACCGUACACGCUCAUAUAUCACCCACACAGACGCGAGUGCACUCAUCUGCAAGCCAAGUGCUUUGGUGUUGCGUUCGCUCGCAAAUUCUCCCCUAACCGGAUUUACACAGUCACAAUUUGUGCGCGAUUUUUGCGUCACCAGAAGCUAAAAAAAAAGAAGCUGAACGAGAAGAAAGGCGAACCUUAAUGAUGAAUGGGAUGUACGUUGCAUAUUACCAAACCAUUCCCUAUCCCUUUUCUUCCUUCCUAUGGGUUGAUAAUUAAAACCGAACCCGUGCAGGAUUCGGUCGUGUUUUGCGUCGCUGCACGUGAUUUAAGCUGACAGCAUUGUAGAUCACAUCAAGCAGGAGAAGGGUAAGGGAGAACUGCAGGCUUCAACACCUUCUUUCGUCUGCCUCACGCACUCGCGAGUGUUUGCAAUGUCCCACGACAAGCCAAACGGGGGAUGGAUUAUUUCAUCCGGAAAAGUCGUUCGCACGGCAAAACACCGCCAAAGUCGUUCUCGCCCCGUACGCACUGCACUGGAAGCGAUUAGCUUGAAGGCGGUGUACGGUGGGAUACGGUUUUGGUUAAAAUGGCAACACAAAAGUAACAUCAUUAAUGAUGAAAAUUCUAGCUACUAGAUGUAGAAUAUUAUGUACAAAGAACGUUUACUUAUGAGCUUUCAUUCCCCUCUUACGUAAAAUGCGCCUAAAGUUAUGCAAUUUUCACAACAAAAUCACCUAUUGAGCGUUUCGUAGCAUCACUGCAGCUGUAGUACAACCGAAACAAAAAGCACAGAUGCGUAACAAUUCCUCAAAAAUUCCUACACAGCUUUUGACGGCUUGUUAGUCCAAUUUUUCCCCACUGUCGGAUUCGGCAGCAAAUCUACGGAUAAUUCGACACGAGCCUUCUGCCGGCACGAAAACGGCUCCACCGGUGGAAGCUGUCGUCAUCAUCAUUAGGAUUCUCGGCCUCCCAAGUGAACGUUUAGAACGUAUACCUCCCCUAGCUCGUAUUUUUGGAGGGGAACAGAAAGCCGCACGUACCGGGAACGGUACCGUUGACAACGGCAAAGCGACGCAGCAAUUUAUUUCAAUUUUCCGGUGACUAAUGUUAACGCUUUUCCCCCAUUUUCCCGGUGCGUCGAAGCGAUGCACUGGGGCGUGUGAAAAGCUGUACGCACGGAAGAAAUGCGCACUGGUGUGGUUGGUUUUGGUAGUUGGCAAAAUAUUGAAGGACCUUGUUUCGGGGUACUUCACGGGAACGUGCCUGCAACUGAUAUCGAUGGAUGAUGGGAUAGCUUCCAUGCUCUGCCUCUCUCUGUCUCUAUCCGUUCUCUUCUCUGUCAGAAAAAGCACCGUCCAGCGUUACACUGGAAGCCCGGUCGUACCGAUUUUGCUUGGGAAACUAGUUCCGGCUUCCUGAUUUACGGACAGUGCACCUACACCGAGUGUCCGCCCAGCAACAGGCCGGAUAAUUCAACGUAUGAUAAGCGGAUAGAGCGGGUGUUUGAGUGUAUCACGCUUCAGAGGCUUGAGUUGAGUUGGAAUGAUAGUCACACUCGGGCAAUAACUUUGUGGAAAUGCAUUUUCAUCAGCGCACAAUGAUAGGGGAAAGGUGUAUCGUUGGAUAUACACCGUUCGCUCUAAGUAUGAUUUUCAUCUUCGUGGGAAAAUAAGCUUACAGGGUGGACUGUUUGUUCGAUGUACGUGCAACUCCAGUAGUACAAUGUUUAUUGCUCUCACGUUUAUCAUCAUUUUAGCAUAAUUUAUCAUUUGCAAAAUUUCUAAUUUACUCGCUACAAAAGAAGAAUAUAAAAAGAAUAUUUCUCCGAGCAUCAAUCUUCUGAAGCAUGAUGCUCUGAUAAGCAAUAAAUGCCCGUCCUAUUGUUUCAUAGUUUGCUGUAAUCCUCUACUUUGUUUAUUGCACACAUCCAAGGGGAGAAAAAAACGCUUCCACGAUCGUUUGACAAACCACCGCUCCUCCUUAGGUACAACGCUCCAUUAGACCAGCAUGGACAAAUUUGGAUCAAAUUAUUAUCUGUUUUUCGAUGUGCGUGUGUGUUAGAGGCCUUCUUUUCUCUUCCGUACACUUACACGCCUCCCUCCAACAACUAUUAAUCUUGUGCAGUGCACUUACAUCCACCUCGCUCCGGUGGAGCAGCACAGUAUUAAGCUUCAUCCGGAGCUUUAUCCAAGGCGGAGUAAACAAGCAUGUACCGUACCGGCCACCGUUGUGAUGGAUGGAUGGACAGUGAGUGUUUUAUAUGAAUGACAAGAUUUAGCAUUUGAUGUCAGACGACGACCAUUAAUCAACCCACUUCCGAAGCGCACAACCUGUGGCAUCGGGCUUCCUGUUGCGCGCCCCCGGGGGUAUUUGGGGCCUGGGUGGUAGUAGAGGUGGUGAAAAAUGGGGUUUAUUUAUCUGUCGGAAAAGAAUCUACGCUUCCCCCGCGCAGCGGUGAAUUGGAAAGAAACAGCAUGAUAAAUGUUUGUGCGAAUGCAUGUUUCAACGUGGUACGGUUGCAAGACACAAAACGAGUGCUAUGCUUUGCGGGUUGCAUACUUCUAGGCGUUUUAUUCAAAAACGUUGUUGAUCCGGUUCGAAAUCAGUUUUUCUUUGUUUCAACGUUGAACUAACACAUCGUUUAUAAUCCCUGUCCAAUAAUUUAACCACUUUCGUGUGGCUUUCGUUCCAGCAGCUAAGCUUGGCAAGCAAUAAAACUAUCGCACGCACCAAUCUAUCGAAGCGCCAAUUGCACACUGUUAGGCAACCUUCACGCACGUAAGCCACAACCGCAACAAAGUCCGCUAACCGACGAAAUUCUCACUACGCAUCCGAGCCAGCCAUCAAGUGCACUCGUGCGGACGGGCACCAGCCUGGUGCAUUAGAAGGCCCCCGGUUGCGGUGCCCGCCCUCGAAAAGCGCACAAUCAUCGGGCCACCUCCCGGCCGGGUUCGGCCCAAUCAUUCGGAAAUAUUAAAAUGCGUUGACAGGUGCUUUCAUUAUUUUGCGCACAAAGUGCAUUCUCCUGCAGGCGAGCGGAACAGCGGAUCAAGAAGGUCGGCGCACCAAAUGUGGCUCGCGGGAGAGGAGGGAAGGGUUUUUGCGGUUCACCGGGCAGCUUAAAAUAGUGUGGAAAAAGGGUUUUUGGUACGUACCGUGUGUGUGUGAGAGUGUGUUUGUGGGUUUGAUGUCGAAUAGUAUUAAAAUAAUUGCAAACCACAGCGAGAAAAGUGCUCACUCCAGAGGGUGGGCCCGCGCGGACUGGUCGCUGCGGUGGCUCGAAUUCCACAGCCAUGCCAGAAGGCCAAUGUGAUGGAAAAUCAUCUUUCCGGUUCGAUGCGAAAACGCUCAUUUGCGUUUCAUUAAAUGAGAGGAAGCAGUGGGGGGGGGGGAGGCCAGCGUGAUGUUUGGCGUUUUGGCAGGUUUUCGGGUCGAAAAGGCAACCGCAUGUGUUUCCCUCCCUCCGGCGUGGCGUGGCAGUCCGGCCGAUAAUGAACUUCCGAGCCGGUGGUUAAUGUAAAGCGGUUAAUCGAUGGAUGAAGAUGAAGCAUUUUUGUUGUUGUGGGACGCAUCGUCCUGUAAGUAAAUGAAGGGGGGAAACGAAAAUUAAACAUUUUUCACUCCAAUAAUAUAUACAAUAAAUGGUAAAUGCUAUUGUUCAACGUUACAUUGCCUAACAGACAUCAUACAUAUCAUGAUCUAUAUGCUGUGAGCUAUAGACCAUUGCAUUACCUUCUCCUGUACAUGGUUGUUGCUGGUUCACAUACCUAUGCGGUGCUAUGAGUGUGUAAAAUCAGCAAAUUAUGCUCACUGGAUAAAUGGGCUGGAAACAUCCGUCGGACAUGGUCCACAACAUAUUACAUUCCACGCCAAUGGGCAAGAUUUGUGUAAUUGAUGCACUCUCUGGUAUCUUGUGGAAUGGUUUUAUCGCUAAAUUUUGCCCGCUUUGCGAUGCACGUAUGCUUCGCCCAUCUUAAACGAUCUCCUAGCAAGCCGAAUUUGGAAAGUAUUGGUUGCAUUUUAAUGGCAUGCCGUCCUGUGCACGAUGAAUGUUGGCAAACACAACGCCACCUGCAGUUUAUUGGUCUCGCGGGUGGUUGAACGGUUGAACCUCACCGGUUCCGGUUAAGCCGGUCAGAAGCGGGCGCCCGAGUACGAUCGAUUGCAAGGAAGAACAAAAAAAGGCGCAAAACAAACAACGAACACGCGAACCCUUUUAUCCUGCGGGUGCACCGGGCUGCUGGCAAACUAUUUUCCCCUCUGUUGUUGUUGUUUGUGCGCCGUGCAGAAGAAAGGAUUUUUAUUAACAACGGGGAGAAACAAAAACACCCAACCCCGGAUCCAGUGCCAGCGGCCGAACCCAAACAAGCGUGUUAAGCUAUGAAUAUGGUAUUGGGAAUGGCGGGUGGGAGAGGGUGGCCAUUCGUUUUAAUCAUCUCGUACGCAAAACUAUUCGCGACCCACUCCAUACACACACUCACACAUACGUGCGGAUUGUUAGAGAGAGGAAGAGCGAGUGGAAGCCCGCAUGAAUCAUAAAUAAAAUGAGCAAGCGUGCCGUUUUUCACCUUUUGUCGCUUUAACCACGUACGGGUGCAGCUUGCAUUAAUGGCUUGUUGUACGGUUGUUGUGCAAGUCAGAAGGGUAUAAAAUUACCUAAAAAGCAAAACGAAACAAAAAUACUAUUAAAUAAAUAUAGAAUAUAACUUAUGGCUUUUUGAAGCGUUCCGUUCUACAGUGAAAUACCGCAAAAUCGAGAAUUCUUUUCUAUUUUCCUGCCAAUCGUUGCCUUAUCUCGUCUCAUUUUAACAACAGUCCGGCGAGCUGCACCCGUUGCAAAAGGGUUAUUUCAAUUUAUGCCUUCAUGCAUGUGUCGGCCUCUUUUUUGUUUUGCUUUUUUUGCCCCAAUCCAUCCGAUGUGCCGAUGCCGAGGCCUGCAUUAUGCAGACAAUUUUCCCCCAAAACCGAGCGGCGCAUAAAUCAUGCAUAUCAACAUCGGGUUCGGGAUAGUUCGCUCGUACGAUCAGCUGCCCCGUGCUGGGCGACAGCAUGAGAGUGGUAAAGUUAUGACUUGUUGUACGUCGCUCUUCAUCUUUAAUUCGACACAACUGGCAGGCACAACGCACAGGCACCGGGAAGCAAUCAUGCAGCAGAAAUUAAUAAUUUAAUUCCUGCCACCCCUUAACGCGGGUAUGAUCGGUAUGCGCUUCUGUAUGCACCCUACCUGACUCAUCGAAAAACGUGCGAAAAGUUAAAAAACGAUGAUGAGAUUUUACCUUUUUUUUGUUUCCCAACCCUUCUCCAUGAAUACAUAUUUAAAAAGCAGCACAAUAAGCCGCGUGAUAACAAUGUUGCACUGUGUACGUUGACGCCUAGCCCUAUAAAAGGCAGAGCGCAAGCUGCAUCUUUGGUACAACUACUAAGUGAUGUCGUUUGAUCAAGAGUCGGUUGAAAUGGAUCGAGUAGCUAUGUAUACGGAAAAUCUUAUAGAAGAAAUGACGCUAACACUCGAACUUGCCAGUUAUGCGGUGCCGUUUGACAUGCGAUGCCUUAAAUGCAACGAGCAUAUUCCGAAAGGUGCAACGUUUCCAGCGCGCGAAGUCGAUAGUUCUUGUGCUUUCAUGGAUGAGUUAACAACAUACUUUAAGUGUGUGCAUUGCAACAAUGAAAUUGUGGUCCGUUAUACUUUGUACGACGGAUGUAACGAUUCCCAAACAAAGCUCAUCAAAGGAGCCGUACAGGUUCUGCUGCCGGAACAGCAAACCAAACCGAAGGAAAGUGAACCUAGCUCAGAGAAAAGCUGAUGUAAACUACCCUCAGGUGUCAUCAUGGCAUUGUUUCUACAAGGCAAAAUUAAAUAACAAAUGAAGAGCAACAACGAUUUUACCUUAUGCCGUGCGACAACGUUGUAUUCAAUGGACGGGCCGCAUACGAGGGGGCUGAUAAAAGUUUUGUUUCGAAAUCGUGUCACAAUAAAACUGCCCUUUGUUCAAUUCUCA